AAACCGAAGUCAGAAGGCUGUCUUAGCAGCACGCGGAGACGAAAGGGGUGCCAGCAUCAUGGCAGAACAGGAUGUGGAAAACGAUCUUUUGGAUUACGAUGAAGAGGAAGAGCCCCAGGCUCCUCAAGAGAGCACACCGGCUCCCCCUAAGAAAGACAUCAAGGGAUCCUACGUUUCCAUCCACAGCUCUGGCUUCCGGGACUUUCUGCUGAAGCCGGAGCUCUUGCGGGCCAUCGUGGACUGUGGCUUUGAGCAUCCGUCUGAGGUCCAGCAUGAGUGCAUUCCCCAGGCCAUCCUGGGCAUGGACGUCCUGUGCCAGGCCAAGUCCGGGAUGGGCAAGACAGCGGUCUUCGUGCUGGCCACCCUACAGCAGAUUGAGCCUGUCAACGGACAGGUGGGUGGGCUCCUCCCUUCCUGGCCCCACCCUGCCUGUGGCGGCGGAAGUAGAGUAGGCUGGAUGGGGUGGCUCACACCUGUUAGCCCAGUGCUUUGGGAAGCUGAGGCUGGAGGAUCGCUUGAGCCCAGGAAGUUGAGGCUGCAGUGUGCUAUGAUCACAGCACUGCACUCCAGCCUGGGUGACAGAGGU
rnacentral:sRNA from 1 species